UAAUAGAGUGUUUUAUGGCACUCUAAAAAAAAAUCCAUAUCCACCUUGUGUGAAAUGUUAAUCCUUGUCAAUCGAACUUCUAAAUGAAGGGAGGUAGAUAAGGUUUUUUUAUAUCAACUCUUUUUUUAAUUUAUUUAUUUAUUUGUCUGUAAAACGUUAUGAAUUUACUUAAUUCAAAACA
rnacentral:misc_RNA from 1 species